AUACGGAGGGGGUUAGCGUUGCUCGGAAUUACUGGGCGUAAAGCGCACGUAGGCGGACUGGAAAGUUGGGGGUGAAAUCCCGGGGCUCAACCCCGGAACUGCCUCCAAAACUUCCAAUCUAGAGAUCGAGAGAGGUGAGUGGAAUUCCAAGUGUAGAGGUGAAAUUCGUAGAUAUUUGGAGGAACACCAGUGGCGAAGGCGGCUCACUGGCUCGAUACUGACGCUGAGGUGCGAAAGCGUGGGGAGCAAACAGGAUUAGAAACCCGAGUAGUCC
rnacentral:rRNA from 1 species